AAGCUAAAUAUAAACUUUUAUUACAUCCCAAUGCAAGAUGUUUCCAAUACAAUCUAUUUCCUUCAAAGGUGGGGUGGAGAAUGAGGGGUGGGGUUUGGGCCACAUAUUUUUAUGUUUACAUUUUAUUUCAGAUUGGAAAAUUUGUAUUUCACUGUCAAAUCAAGUAAGAACACAUUUAUUACUUAGUGUUGCUUGAAAUAAUAUCUACAAUGUUUAAAGUUUCAUUUAAAAGCAUAAACUUCUUUUAAGCUCAAAGUUAAAAACACAAAUAUAAACUGCAUUUCAUGUUCUGUUAAUAUUUAGCUGUGUGGCAAUGGAUGAGUAUUUUUUCUCUGUGAGGCUUUGUUUUCUCAUCUGGCAAAUGAGGAAAUUGAUGCAGAUCAUCUUCAAGUUCCCUUCAUGAUAUUUAAUAUAACUAUUUAUGUCAUGCUUGUAAAUAGUAGGUGAUGAUGAAGGUUACUGUUCCCCACAGGUGAAUGCUGCAAUGAUCAUUGGUAGGACUGUUAGGCUUUGUUUCUCAAGAGGAUAAUCUGAUUGGGAAAAGAAUAAGAGUGCAGCUGCAGCCCAUCCUUGUGAAGAAGGUACCAGUGCGCUCUCAAAGCCAAGUCUUGAAAAUAAUAGCGAAUGCUGUAUUGGAUAACAGCCAUGCCAGAUACAGAGAAGCCACAGAUGGCAUUGUCACCAGAAAAUGGAAGCACAAAGCGCUUUGGGUAACAGCAAUUCAAGAAUGACUGCAGAGAAAAUCUAUUAAGAAAUUCAAAUGCAGAUUUCAAUAUUUACUCCUUUUCAUUCUCUUCCUCUCUCUCUCGCUCACUUGCUCUUUUUCUCUCUCCCACCUUGUUUUUCUCGCUCUCCUUUUUUUUGCAUACAGUUUCUCAGUAAAAUACAUUUGAUUAAAUUUUAUAACAAACAAGCUUAUGAAAUGCAGAUAUACAAAAAGGAAAACAUAAGAAGCAUGCAUAAUUCUACCACUGAAAAAUACUACUAAAAUUUGGUAUUUAAACUUUUGAAUGUUUGUCACUGCACUUGCAUGUGUGUGUAAAUAUAAUCUCCAACUCUGCAGAGAAAUACAAGAAUUGUUAUGAACCUUAAUAAACUCCCAAAAGAUUUCAAAAGCAACUUCUCUGUCAUUAGAAUAUACUCAGAAAGUCAAUAACAUAUUUUAAUCCAUUCCAAGAGCCCCAUAUUUAUUGGGUCUAUGAGAAAGCAAUUUAUAGCGUUGGUUUUUUUAUAAGAAGAGUAGAUGGCCAUUUGGGGGCAAGUCAUGUGUCAUUUGGAAUAACCACAAUAGGUGGAAAAAAUGCCUCAGAUUCUGCUGCAAGACUAAGAGCCACAAGGAGCUUUUCGUUCCAUCACUAGUUGGACAUUUAUUGGACAUCAAUUUCAUAUACAAUCUCAUGGUCUGCACUGGGGAAUGACAAAAAAGUAUAAGAAAUUAUCUCUCACCUGAAGAAAUGUAUAGUGUAGGUUUGUUAAAAAUUAAGUUUUAGAACUCAUUUUUCAAACUAAAAUCUCAUGCUAAAAAUAAUAUAUAGAAUAGAUCAAAGCAGACUAUUAUGAAAGAUGCAAAGAUAGAUGGGCCUGGGGACCCAUCCAUCUGUUUUCCUCAAGUACCACUUAAGGCCCCCACAAACUAUAGAGUGGAAACCAAUAGCUACAGGAGAUAAAUGAAAACAUUGACAGGUCAAGGUUUGUGAAUAUAAGUGUGGUUGGUCAUGGUAAAGAAACCACAGUUAAUACGCUCCCUCUGCGUGCUGGAUGCUCAUCCUGGAGCUUUGCCUCUAUCAAUUAACUUAAUCCUCACAACAGUCUCGAUCUGUAGGUAUAAUAAAUCUAGGUUUGAAAAUACAAAAAUGACUUGUUCAAUAUAUCUCAUAGCUAUAUUUAGCAGAUCUGAGUUUCAAAUGCAAGUCUAGAUGACUCUGACAUCCAUGACAACUCUUACACCUAAAUAGAAUGCAAGAUUUGAAUAACUAUACACACACACAAGCACGUGCAUGCACACAUGCACACAUGCACACACAGGAUAUACAUGAUUAAUUGUGAAAUGAGAGGUUAACAGUCAGGUUUGAUGUGUCCUGAUUAGUGAGGGGAAGAAUUUACCUAAAAAUUCUGGGUGUAGUCAUUCAAGUAUGACGUAAAAGGGAAUGGAUUGCCAG
rnacentral:lncRNA from 1 species